UACGUAGGGUGCGAGCGUUGUCCGGAAUUAUUGGGCGUAAAGAGCUCGUAGGCGGUCUGUUGCGUCUGCUGUGAAAUUUCGGGGCUCAACCCCGAACUUGCAGUGGGUACGGGCAGACUAGAGUGUGGUAGGGGAGACUGGAAUUCCUGGUGUAGCGGUGAAAUGCGCAGAUAUCAGGAGGAACACCGAUGGCGAAGGCAGGUCUCUGGGCCACUACUGACGCUGAGAAGCGAAAGCAUGGGGAGCGAACAGG
rnacentral:rRNA from 1 species